CGGCGGACGGGUGAGUAACACGUGGGUAACCUACCUAUAAGACUGGGAUAACUUCGGGAAACCGGAGCUAAUACCGGAUAAUAUAUCGAACCGCAUGGUUCGAUAGUGAAAGAUGGCUCUGCUGUCACUUAUAGAUGGACCCGCGGCGUAUUAGCUAGUUGGUAAGGUAACGGCUUACCAAGGCAACGAUACGUAGCCGACCUGAGAGGGUGAUCGGCCACACUGGAACUGAGACACGGUCCAG
rnacentral:rRNA from 1 species